rnacentral:rRNA from 1 species
CCGGCGUGCCUAAUACAUGCAAGUCGAGCGAGCGGAACUAACAGAUUUACUUCGGUAAUGACGUUAGGAAAGCGAGCGGCGGAUGGGUGAGUAACACGUGGGGAACCUGCCCCAUAGUCUGGGAUACCACUUGGAAACAGGUGCUAAUACCGGAUAAGAAAGCAGAUCGCAUGAUCAGCUUUUAAAAGGCGGCGUAAGCUGUCGCUAUGGGAUGGCCCCGCGGUGCAUUAGCUAGUUGGUAAGGUAAAGGCUUACCAAGGCGAUGAUGCAUAGCCGAGUUGAGAGACUGAUCGGCCACAUUGGGACUGAGACACGGCCCAAACUCCUACGGGAGGCAGCAGUAGGGAAUCUUCCACAAUGGACGCAAGUCUGAUGGAGCAACGCCGCGUGAGUGAAGAAGGUUUUCGGAUCGUAAAGCUCUGUUGUUGGUGAAGAAGGAUAGAGGUAGUAACUGGCCUUUAUUUGACGGUAAUCAACCAGAAAGUCACGGCUAACUACGUGCCAGCAGCCGCGGUAA